AGGACACUGAAUUGAAAAAUAAUAAAAAUAAACUUCAUCUAAAGAGUUCAAGCAGUUCAAAGACAGCUCGAGGAUGGAGCUUAGUGAAGGAGAAAGAACUUGAAGAAAAUAAACACCUGAAUGAUGCCCAAGAAAACACAAAUGGAAAUGUGACAAAAAUGAGGAAUUGAAUGCAGGACUUGGAUAUGGACUUCAACAAAAAAGAUAGAAACAAGAUAGAAACAUUGAAGAGGAAUUGAGCCAAAAUGAAGAGAGAAUUGAAAAAUCCAAUAUGUUAAACUCCAAGAAAGUCUUAAAAGUACAAUGAAUCAAGGAGAAGGUCCUUUUCCAGGACUGGCCAAUAUCUCAGCUGACUACAACUGAAGGGCAGAGGGACUAUCCUGCCAAAUGUUCCAAAGGCAGCUAUAUAGAGCUACUUUCCAGAUAGUGGGACUGGACCCCACAGUGGUGAGUACGUUUCUUGGGAAGCAUAAUAGUUGACAGUGAUUUCAAAUGUG
rnacentral:lncRNA from 1 species